GGGUCGACUGUAGGGCACAAUGUCCUCUGAAGCACAACGGACAUGAAGAGCACACACGAGUCUACAUUAACAACUGAAACUAUUCACAGUCAGUGUAACUCAAAUGAUGUUAUGCAUAUGUCUUUUGGUGUUGACAAAUUCCUGAGGUCACUUUGUGAUACAUAACAGUAACUCUGCUUAAAUUAAGCCACAUCAUAACACCUUGUCUUUGAUUAUUUUCCUAUAACACCGUGGUCUGUUCUGAUUAUUCCAUCUAUAUUUAUUCUAGGGGGAAAAAAAAAAACCUUGGAAGGGCUUUAAAGUGGAUUCGUAGUACCUGGGUCCUGGCGUCCUGCGCUUGGCUCUGGUUUGCUGGCUUUCCCUGCUCUCUGAGCCCUCUGUCUUUCUUGAGCCUCUCGACGCUCUGACGAGCUGGUUCUUGUGUCCGAGGCGUCUCUGAGUUUCUUGUCUCUCUUGUCCCUGCUCUCAGCUGAGCUGGACCUUCUUCCUGUCUCUGCCGCUGCCUUGGCUGGCAGUCACUGUGAGCCAGAUACAGAUGAAGCCGACAGAGUCCACACAACACACUCGCCUUGAACACUUGAACAUAACUUGAAAAUAACAAGCCGUGAGAGGCUUUGAGCUUUGAGUAGUCGCUGUGAGCCAGCGAGAGACAGAGCUGAGACAACACACUCUCCAUGAACAGAAAUGUGAACUUGAACAUAAUGAGACAUGAGCAGUCUGGAGCUUUGAGUUCCUUUGAUAAUUGGAGGAAAUGUGUGCUGAAACAAGAAAAAAAAAUAAAUAAAAAAUAAUAAUAAUAAUAAUAAAAAGUAAAUAAAUAAAUAAAUAAAUAAAAGGAAGCAUGAAGCUCUGUUUAAAAAACAAAACAAAAAAAACCUGUGUCCUGAGUUUUCAUUCACCCACACACACCUACAAAUAUAGUACUGCAUAACAGAGUACAUAAAAUAGGUAUAUUUUAGUAAAGUACAGUACUGUGUAGUAUAUAUAGUAUAUAUGGAUAUGUGAUAAUCAGCUCUGCAGAGAAAUGAAGUGCACUACAGUGUUUGUCUUGACCUUCCUGAUGCACAUUGUGAAUUUGGUGAAAAUCAAUGAACGUUCAUUUUUUUGCCCAAUAAAACACAAAGGCUAACCCCUUACCAUUUUUAAAGUGGUCAAGAGUAACACAGCAGUGCAUUUAGUUUCAUCCUGUCACGCUCCAAAGCUGAGGUACAGUAUAGUAAAAUAUGGUUGUAAUAUAGUAUGGAAAUGCGAUGCUUAGAUCUCGGCUCUUGCGUGUGAUGGGAUGAACUACCACUGUAUGCGUGGUAUAUGACCUAACACAAAAACACAAAGGCUAACCUCUUACCAUUUUUAAGGUGAAAAAUUCGACAUUCUCAGAUCUACACCAAAUUCACCCUGUAUGUUACAGUUGCCAAGAGUAACACAGCAGUGCACUUAGUUUCACCCUGUCCCACUCCAUUACUGAGAUACAGUAUAGUAUAAUGCAAUAUAGUGUAGUAUAGUAUGGAUCUGUGACGCUUAGAUCUCAGCUCUGCAGAGUGACAGGACGAAACUAAGUGCACUGCUGUGUUCGUCUUGACCUUCCUAAUGUACAUUGUGAAUUUAGUAAAAAUCAAAGUACGUCAAAUUUUUCACCCAAAAAAACACAAAGGCUAACCUCUUACCAUUUUUUGGGUGGAAAAUAUGACGCUCUCAGAUCUUCACUAAAUUCACCCUGUACAUUAAGGUGGUCAAGAGUAACACAACAGUGUGUUUAGUUUCAUCCUGUCACACUCCAAAGCUGAGGUACAGUAUAAUAUGGCGGCAGUGGGGGAGUGGUCGAGCGUUGGUUGUGGGCGGAGAGAGAAGGCGGGUUAAACAGGCAGGUAACGUGUGAUUGUUCCCACCUGUGUGUUAUUACCAGCAGCCUACUUCUGUGUG